GACGACUCAUUUUAUUAUUUCUCUAGAUGCUUGAUAUAUCCAUCACAAAUACUUCUUUUGUAUUGUUCAAAAUUUGGCUUGUUAAUAUAAAAUAGCUACUCUGUUAAUUUGCAAGUGCAGUGGAAGCUGUGACUGACGUACAGCAAGUUGUGUAUUUCGUUACCUGAGAGGGAAGGGAGGAGAGGAGGAGGCAGAUAGACAAGAGAAAAAGCAAAGAAGUUAUUGAUGUAACCGAUUUUUUUUUUUUAAAGAUAUGAUGAAAGAGCCUAAUCAGGAAAAAAGACAAUUGAAAGACUGGAAUCCACACUAGUUGUUUCACCAGCUUCCCUGCCCUCCCAGUUAGACUCUCAAGUAAGUGGGCCUGUGAUGACCACAGGAAGAGAGCACGUCACAAGGAGGUGCUGCAGGGAGAGGAGGAGCCUGAGAGGAAAAGCCUCUGCUCUCUUUCUCCCUGAGCCAGCCAUGUGCUUUGGUCUCCUGUGCUGUGUGGCUCUUUUCAUCUGGGGAGCAGGCUCCAUGGACACUGAGGUCAUCCAGAGUCCAGGUCAUCUGGUCAAAGGAAAAGACCAGAAAGCAAAGAUGGAUUGUGUCCCCAUAAGAGGACAUAUUCAUGUUUACUGGUAUCGCAGGAAGCUGGAAGAAGCAUUCGAGUUCUUGGUUUACUUUCAGAAGCAAGACAUUGUGGAAGGCACAGAAGUGUUCAAAGAGCGAUUUUCAGCGCAGUGCCCUCAAAACUCACCCUGCAGCCUGGAAAUCAACUCCACCGAGGCAGCGGACUCGGCUCUGUAUUUCUGUGCCAGCAGCCAGUCCACAGUGCUGCACGUCAGCUCUUCUUCGAACACAAACUCACCAUGGACCCAGCUCAGGAAAUCACUGGUGUCGUAGGAGGGUAGGAACUAACGGAAACCCACCUUGAAAGAGCAUAAAGCAGAAGGAAAAAUCU